rnacentral:rRNA from 1 species
CGCUAUCACUCCUACGGGGAGGCAGCAGUAGGGAAUCUUCCACAAUGGGCGCAAGCCUGAUGGAGCAACACCGCGUGAGUGAAGAAGGGUUUCGGCUCGUAAAGCUCUGUUGUUAAAGAAGAACACGUAUGAGAGUAACUGUUCAUACGUUGACGGUAUUUAACCAGAAAGUCACGGCUAACUACGUGCCAGCAGCCGCGGUAAUACGUAGGUGGCAAGCGUUAUCCGGAUUUAUUGGGCGUAAAGAGAGUGCAGGCGGUUUUCUAAGUCUGAUGUGAAAGCCUUCGGCUUAACCCGGAGAAGUGCAUCGGAAACUGGAUAACUUGAGUGCAGAAGAGGGUAGUGGAACUCCAUGUGUAGCGGUGGAAUGCGUAGAUAUAUGGAAGAACACCAGUGGCGAAGGCGGCUACCUGGUCUGCAACUGACGCUGAGACUCGAAAGCAUGGGUAGCGAACAGGAUUAGAUACCCUGGUAG